GCAACCUCCGGCUGGCGCACGGCAACCUGGUGGUGUUCCGUUCCCUGCUCGGCAUCAGCUGGAUGUGGUUCUUCGGCGCGGUGUUCCUGAGCCAGUUCCCGAGUUUCGCCAAGGAGGUGCUG
rnacentral:ncRNA from 1 species